rnacentral:rRNA from 1 species
UACGUAGGGGGCUAGCGUUGUCCGGAAUCAUUGGGCGUAAAGCGCGUGUAGGCGGUCCGGUAAGUCCGCUGUGAAAGUCGGGGGCUCAACCCUCGGAUGCCGGUGGAUACUGUCGGACUAGAGUACGGAAGAGGCGAGUGGAAUUCCUGGUGUAGCGGUGAAAUGCUUAGAUAUCGUCAAGAACACCGAUAGUGUAGACAGCUUACUAGGCUGAAACUGACGCUGAGGCACGAAAGUGUGGGGAUCAAACAGG